UUUUUUUUUUUUUUUUUUUUUUUUUUCUUGCU
rnacentral:ribozyme from 1 species